UAAUAAGUGCGAACUUGGCCGUGGCAAGGGAGGGGGAUCGUCUGCUCGUCAUCGUGGGUUACGCCCCUGCCUCAAAUUAAAAUCAACAAAUAAACAAAGUAAAAGCGAAUAGACAAGGAAUCACGCACUGUGUUUUUUUAUCGUGAGUUUCUGGGCGAAAAAAGUUAUGUCGGACUUUUCUCAAUGGGCAGCGUGCGCGCCGAUCACAACGCGGACUGCUGAUGACUCGGGACUCGAUCGCCCGACUCUCCGGACACUUUGCCCCAGCAGCGCCGGUGCGUCUGGACGAGUCACUGCUGGAUGAUCGGAAUGGGUUUCAACUUCGGACCAGAGGAUGAGCAGCAAAAGGACGCUCUACACUGCAGCCAUCACACGCAAUGGAACCCCAUUGAUUGACCCUUGACCGCAAACCUGGAAGUUAUGGCCAGCGGCAGCAGGAGCAGAGAAAAUUCCAUGGUGAAACUGUCCGAGGUGAGAGACGACUGCGACGAGAUCGGAGCCCAAGAUCAGAUGUCGAGGAAGCCAAAAUGAACUUGUCAGCUUUUGCUUUUGGAUUUUAUUUAAGUUUGUUUGUUCUGGAAAAUAAAACUUUGUUGACACAAUCAAUAUUUCACCUGUGAUAAUAAAAAUCUUAUAUUAAUUUUUUAAAGGAUCCCUUCAGACAAAUCUUGUUUCUUAUUUUACCAUUGUACAAACACAAUCUCAUGAGAAAUUAUAAAUGAUGAGCUUUUCUUCAAAUUUACCAGAUUUACAACGUGAUAUUAUUAGCUUGUUCUAAAAUUUAGAAAUUUAAAUUGUCUUAGAUCUAAAAUUAAUCAGGAAAAUAAUUUUUCAAAAUAUGGAGGGUGAUACAAAAAUUUAUUUCCAAGCCCAAGGUUUUCAUAUUAUAUAAUGGGAAAUGUUGAUUGUGUCAACAAAGUUUUAUUUUCCAGAACAAACAAACUUAAAUAAAAUCCAAAAGCAAAAGCUGACAAGUUCAUUUUGG